rnacentral:lncRNA from 1 species
CAGAUGUCACCUCUUACAAACAGACGCACUGUGUUUCUCUCUGCAGCUAUUACAGGGACUACAUGGAUAGAGAGAGAGAAAUGUGUCACCGAAUGUUUGCUUCUCAUGAAAAUGGCUCCACAGUGGGAGAGCACUGAAGAUUCCUCAUUUGACUGCACCAAGAGAGCUACAUGGGCAGUGGAGCUGAGUCACAGCUGGAAGAGCUCCCGGCAUGUGGCAGCCCCCCCUCGCCAGGCCUGACCGGGACAGACCUGUGGAAUCCAAGUGCUGUUUCUGUUUCUUUGUGUUUCACAGGCAGCAGGGGGAAAGAUAGCUACUGACAAGUAGAAAACUGCUACUUUUUAAAGGCAGUUUCUUGUGUUUUGGGGAGGAAUUAGUCCUUGGCAUUUGUCCCAGCCCCAGCCCCCCUUCUGGCUGCUCACCUCCCCUGGUAAAUACAAAUAGAGAUUGUUUUGUGGUUCUCCUGGCUUCUCCGUUUUGAAGACAGAAUUAUGUUACAAAUGUUUUUGCCGUAAAUAAACAUUCCCUUGUCCUGCAAGACCCAGCAGGGUGGACUGUUUGAAUUCUGCAGGUGAAGCACAGCUGUGGCAGAACCAGCAGGGAAGGGGAGCUCCCACCCCUUCACCUAAUAACACUGUGUCGAUGUCCGCUCCCGGCCGGCAGGAAGGACACACGACAAAGUCUGGUAGUGGACAACCUUUUCUUUUUAUUUUCCUUCUCCGUACAGCCUGCCCUGGGAUCGCUCCCAGCCGAAGCCUCCUUUGGUCCGCUCCCCGCGGCUCCUUCUGGGCUUCUACUUCCGGGCUUCUUCUUCCCCCCCAGGGGUGGCACCAGUAUAUAUACGGAUACAGUGUCCAAUCAUGUUAAAGUGAGCAAGGCAAGCUGAUUGGCUAACAUCAUCAGUUGCCAGGCAGACUAUAUUGUUGAGCGGGUUGUUUACGCGGUAAGCAGGAAACUAACAUAUUCGAUGGGAGGGGUAAUCUACCUCAGGCUUUGCUCUUUACCACAGGCCGCACGUCCGCCGCGCAAGGCGAGCUAUCACAGACGCGGCUCCCAACAACACUGUGCCUGAGGGUGCCCUGAAUCCCACUCCCUCCUGUGGGAGCUGUUAAAAGGCAAGUUAGUGGGACACUUUGAAGCCCGUUAA